rnacentral:miRNA from 1 species
GAACGCGCUUCCCUAUGGAGGGU